rnacentral:lncRNA from 1 species
GUUAAUAUCUCCAGAAGAAAGUUAGAAUGAUCCAGUAACCUUCAUAUGUAAGCAUGAAAUAUAAAUGAUACUGGAAUGAUGGCCAAGAAAAGAUAGAUAACACUUCAAAAUAACCCAUAUAUUGCAACCAACUCUGAAUCAUCCUCAUCAUUGAUACGCUUUGUCACUUUCUUACGAGCCUUGGACGGGAAUAUAGGACGAACAAUUUUUCCUGUAAAAUUAGGUUAGAUUGACAUCAUAUGCCUCAAUUUGAUUCAAUCCAAAAGCUGUUUCUAAACAACUAAUAUCUGGGUUCCAACAUUUACAACCCUGCCCUGGAAUCUGAAAGGAGGCAUAAAGAUGAUGGCAAAAUAAGCUUUAAUUGGGGGAAUAGAGAGUUCAGGAGACAGACUUCAUACUUACUAUGGAUUUCAGAUAGUUACUGGUGGAGGCUUCCUCUUCCAGCAAUUCUGCCCACUAUUUGAUGUUUCAGUAUUCUUGCACACAUUUAUGCUCAAG